rnacentral:misc_RNA from 1 species
GCGAGCCAUGAGAACGCCAGUUCGAUCAUCGUCUUGCCGUGGGCGUUGGCGAAGUCCUGAAGCUUCGCGACAAUGUUGAAGUUCUUGUCCGUCAUGUAGCGCUCGCCGAGUGACGCCACCUUGCCGAACCGGGAGUCGGCGGAUGGCUUCUCGCCGCGCUUGUAUUUUCCGGUCAGCAGGCUGCUGGCCAGUGGGAAGAAAGGCAGCAGGCCGAGAUUGUAGGACUGC